rnacentral:tmRNA from 1 species
GGGGCUGACUUGGAUUUCGACAGAUUUCUUGUCGCACAGAUAGCAUGCCAAGCGCUGCUUGUAAAACAGCAACAAAAAUAACUGUAAACAACGCAGAUUACGCUCCAGCUUACGCUAAAGCUGCGUGAGUUAAUCUCCUUUUGGAGCUGGACUGAUUAGAAUUUCUAGCGUUUUAAUCACUCCAUAACCUUAAGCUAGACGCUUUUAAAAGGUGGUUCGCCUUUUAAACUAAGAAAAAGAACUCUUGAAACUACCUCAAGGUUUUAGAAAGUUGGACCAGAGCUAGUUUUAAGGCUAAAAAACUAACCAAUUUUCUAAGCAUUGUAGAAGUUUGUGUUUAGGGCAAGAUUUUUGGACUGGGGUUCGAUUCCCCACAGCUCCACCA